AUAAAUGAAUGAAUGAAUCCAAUAAGAAAUAUGAAAGAAUAAAUCACGACUGCAGUCCUAGCUUGAUCUUGGCUGCCUUUUUCUCUUUUCGCCGUGCCUUUUGC
rnacentral:ribozyme from 17 species